UUUUUGUAACAAGUAAGCUUUUAAGAUCUUCAAUUUCGUCUACUAAAUGAUUUCUUUAUAUUGUGGUUGGACUUAGAUAUUGAAGCAGUACUGCAACUUGUCAACAGAGUUGCCUUGUUUAUCCCAUUGAGAGGAAGCAUAUGCUCUUGGAAUUUGGCAGUGUUGCUGUCAUCUCAAAACUCGUUGAAUGAACACAUGGAGCCUGGAUGUUAUUUUCAAUGCCAACCCUAUCACAGUUUUCAUUCUCAAGCUAGAUUGUUGUUUACCCCAUAGAGGAACCCAACAUAAACACCUGGAAAAAAAAAUCCAAAUGAUUUUGGUUUAGUUGGAACUUCAAAAUGAAGAGUUGGUUUCAUGGUAAAGCUAUAUAUUUGACUUGAUUGUUACAUCAGUUUGGGCUAAAACUUGAAUCAAUUUUCCCUUUUUGUAAUUAAAAUUCCAGAGUUCUACUCUGUUUUGGAAUUGGUUUGUACAUUGGUUUUGAUGAGAUGAUAUCCAACAAGUUCAAGAUUCGAAGCUUAGUAAUUAAA